rnacentral:rRNA from 1 species
GACGAACGCUGGCGGCGUGCCUAAUACAUGCAAGUCGAACGAGAGCGACCGGUGCUUGCACUGGUCAAUCUAGUGGCGAACGGGUGAGUAACACGUGGGUAACCUGCCCAUCAGAGGGGGAUAACAUCCGGAAACGGAUGCUAAAACCGCAUAGGUCUUCGAGCCGCAUGGCUUGAAGAGGAAAAGAGGCGCAAGCUUCUGCUGAUGGAUGGACCCGCGGUGCAUUAGCUAGUUGGUGAGGUAACGGCUCACCAAGGCCGUGAUGCAUAGCCGACCUGAGGGGGUGAUCGGCCACAUUGGGACUGAGACACGGCCCAAACUCCUACGGGAGGCAGCAGUAGGGAAUCUUCCGCAAUGGACGCAAGUCUGACGGAGCAACGCCGCGUGAGUGAAGAAGGUGUUCGGAUCGUAAAACUCUGUUGUUAGAGAAGAACAAGUGCUAGAGUAACUGUUAGCGCCUUGACGGUAUCUAACCAGAAAGCCACGGCUAACUACGUG